UGAGGAAUAUUGGGCAAUGCCCGCAAGGGUGACCCAGCAACGCCGCGUGGAGGAUGAAUGUCGUAAGAUUGUAAACUCCUGUUAGAGGGGAAGAAUAGUACCGGUUGGACCGGUAUAUGACUGUACCCUCAGAGAAAGCCCCGGCUAACUACGUGCCUGCAGCCGCGGUAAUACGUAGGGGGCAAGCGUUGUCCGGAUUUACUGGGUGUAAAGGGCGCGCAGGCGGGAUAAAAAGUCAGUGGUGAAAUCCUACAGCUUAACUGUAGAACUGCCUUUGAUACUUUUAUUCUUGAGUUCGGGAGAGAGAGACGGAAUUCCAGGUGUAGUGGUGAAAUACGUAGAUAUCUGGAAGAACACCAGUUGCGAAGGCGGUCUCUUGGUCCGACACUGACGCUGAGGCGCGAAAGCGUGGGGAGCAAACA
rnacentral:rRNA from 1 species